rnacentral:rRNA from 1 species
CCUACGGGUGGCAGCAGUAGGGAAUAUUGCUCAAUGGGGGAAACCCUGAAGCAGCAACGCCGCGUGGAGGAUGAAGGUUUUAGGAUUGUAAACUCCUUUUGUGAGAGAAGAUUAUGACGGUAUCUCACGAAUAAGCACCGGCUAACUCCGUGCCAGCAGCCGCGGUAAUACGGAGGGUGCAAGCGU